AAAAAUUUAAUGGUUUCAAUGUUUAUCCUGGUUUAAAAAUAAAUUAAAAAAAGAAAAUGGAAACAGAGUAACAGACUUCAUCGUCCUCGUUCUCUCCCAAUCUACUUCACAAAAUCGCUCUCAAUCGCUCUCCCUAUCGCUCUCCCUCAACUCUCAACAUCUCUCCAUCGCUCUCCCUCAACUCUCAACAUCUCUCCAUCGCUCUCACCUCAGUCGUCGUCUCUCAAUCUAAGCGUGAAAAGAUAAAGAAACCAUGGUUCCCAAGAGAAAGUUGGACAGGACGGCUCACCUUCGACGGUGACGGCGAGCUCAGCUUUAGGGUUUUGAAUUGGUACAUGGGGUUCAAAAGAGAAAAUUUCCAGAAGUGCUUUUUGUGCUCAGAAUUGGGUUGUCCUGUUUGAUGCUACAAUCCGGAAACGUGAAAUUUGGAGCAAAAGCUUCUCUGGUUUCAAUGUAGCUGCUGAUAGAAUUUUGGUGACAGGUACGAGUUCUAAACGGAAUAUGGCUCAAUUGGAUAGCCCAUUGGUGCAACUCUCGGAAUGAUAAAACGUAGACAAGGUUGUAAUCAAGCUUCUGUGUAUUGAAGGCUGAAGUUUCGUUGACUGAGCACGAGUUUGUAAAAGGCAUCUAGAGUCAUGAGUGCAACCUGUCUCAAGCCCACCUAUAUCAACAGAAUAAUCGACCAGAUUGGAUUUUGCAAUAACUGUUGUCGUAGGUGAAUGAACCAUUACAGCUUCCACAACCAUAUAUUUUCUCUGCUUUCUGCUGUUAUUAAAGUCUAGCCAGAAAAAGUUUUCGAGCAUAUACUUGAUAUUCUUCCGGCUAUUGGGGUAUCAGCUGUUACACAGAUUGACAGUCAUUCAAAGCAUGUUUUUGAGGAUCUUAUAUCUGCAAUUGUUCCUUAUUGGCUGUCUAAGACAGAUGAUGUGGAGAAAUUACUGAAGGUUUUCAUAGAUAUAUUUCCUGAAAUAGUUGAGCACAGAAGGCUAUCCAUUGUUUUACAUCUCCUACGAACUUUGGGCGAGGGUAAAAGCUUGUCCUCAUUGCUUAUUUUGUUGUUCUCUUCACUGGUUUCAAGGAAAGCCAGCCUCUUCGUCAAUAUUCAGACGCCAGAUGCUUUAUCAUUUUAUACUAAAGAGUGGGAAUAUAAAUUAGCAGUGCAGAUUUGUGAGCAGUUUACAAGUAUGACCUGGCAUUCGGUUUCUUAACAUUGGAUGGCUUAGGAUGAGCGCCAGGCACGGCAUCUGACUUUCAAACGAACCAAGACUAGAAGCAUCAACAGACACCGGACCAAGGAACUUGCCAACAGAUCCGUUAUCAGAACCAUUAUCCAAAAGAAGUUCCUCGAGAACUGCUUUAAUUCUUUGCAGCUUGGGAGGAACAACAAUGACAUCAAAAGGAAGAUUAUCGUCGGCAUCAAGACAACUAACAUGGGCACCCGCCGUUAUAAGAAGCCUAACAGCAUCAAUAACAUUAACAGACCCACCAGAAGCAACAUAGUGAAGGGCAGUGAUCCUUAACAAAUUUCAGCAGAUCUGAGUUAUUAUGUCUUAGGUUACGCAAAGUUCCAUGUAGAUCAACAACACCGGGUGCCAAAAUAUUCUUAAUCUGCCAUGAGUCAUAAGCUGCAUUUACAAAGAAGAUUGGUGUACUGAUUUGUGCGACCACAUUUUGCGGGAAAAACACAGCCCAGGCGAAAGUCUUGAUGUGCAAGAUGAAGGCAAAUUCUUGGGCAUUUCCUUCUGCAAACUUCUACUAUUUCGUGGUAACUGUAACUUGUUCGAACAUUCCAAGGAUGAGUUAGGUCGCUUGACAGUUCUUUCCAAAUUGAAAGCCGUACCUUUUUCAAAGUCACUACUACCACUGUCAUCAUCAGAAAAGCUUAUCACAAGAUUUUUAUCAUCGCUUGCAUGACCAGUCCAUGGAGAAGAUUUAAGGGGUUUUGGCUCAAACGAGGCUUGGUGAUAGAGCAACAACAGCAAGUGUCAUGGCAACAUCUGGCAUCUUGUUCAUAUUGAUAUCAAUGCCUUGCAACACUUUCCGACCAGAAGAAUCUCGUGGAGGCCCGGUAACUGUGACGCUGUUUUCUGUCCACGUAACUUUAGCUCCCAUCCUUCAAGAACUUCAGCAAAUUUUACAUCUCCCUGUAAACUGCUCGUCCCGCAGCCUAUAACCGUGAUAGUUCCAACGGUAACUUCUGCACCGGCUAGGAAGCAACUGGCGCUAGAAGCAUCACCUUCAGUGCUAAUAGAUCCAGACAUUCGCCUGCAGCAACCAAGGCUGCCGUCAAAGGACGCAUUGCUGUACCGGCAUUUCCAAGGAAUAAAUUAACUUCAUCUUUAGAUUCUCUACACGUGGGAAACAAUCCCCCACUGUCUUCCACAACUGCUUGUUUGGUUGUUUUUGUCUCUAUUAGUGUAUAUUUAUGUUAUAAUUUAUAUUAUUGAAGUGGUUGGAAGGUUUUGUUUUGUGUAGGUUUUUGGUAAGUUAGAAAAUGUUCCUCAGUUGCGUGAGGUCAGAAUGGAGGUCUUUUGAAGGCUUGUUGGUUAAUAAGGAGUGUUGGCUUGUUAAUGUUGAAAUUCUAUGGACUUAAUGUUGCUCUGUUACGAUUGUGGUAGGAUGGAUGUUAACAUGGAGCUAUUGUGGUUCUAUUGUGGUUCGGAAUAUGAUCAUAGGCCGUGUGAAUUUGGAUUGUAAUUUUUAUAGUCUGAAAUUGAAAAUGAAUGUAUGGUAUUAAUGAAUGGAUGAAAAUUUGGUUGA